GCUGCAGUAGCUCAGUGGUAGAGCUCCCGCUUCGUGUGCGGGGAGACCCGGGCUCGAUUCCCGGCUGCUAGCC
rnacentral:tRNA from 1 species